CUUCCCAAGACUACCAUCCUCCUCCAUCUUCCCAGGAUUAUCAUCACCCACCACCUUCCCAAGAAUACCAUCCUCCUCCACCUUCCCAAGAUUACCAUCCUCCGCCACCUUCCCAGGAUUAUCCUCCUCCACCUUCCCAGGAUUACCAUCCUCCUCCACCUUCUCAAGAUUAUCAACCCCCUCCACCUUCCCAAGAUUACCAUCAGCCUCCACCUGCAAGAUCAGACAGUUCUUAUUCCGAGCCCUACAACCACCAACAAUACUCACCAGAUCAGUCACAGAAUUUAGGUCCCAAUUACCCUUCUCACGAAACUCCCCCUCCUUACU
rnacentral:lncRNA from 1 species